AAAAAAAAAGAAAAAGAAAAGUUCCUAUAAGUGACUUAUAGAUAUCUCUAUAUCUUCCCCAUCUAUGGAAACUCUUGGCUUUCCUCAAUAAAAGUCAUCCCUGUUCCUAAUGAAAGCAAGAGAGGGACAUCUCCACAUGGGGAGGGAAGUUGGACCCCACACUGGCUUAUUUUCUGAGAGUCCCUUUCCCCUUGGUGAUCCCACUAAUCACAGGCGCUGCUAUCAAGCUGGACUGUGGACCCCUAGUUCCCACUAAAUACAGCUUUACUACAAGUUGAGGAACAACUCAUGGGAAGUAGCCACAGAAAGUCACAUCCACCAAGAAAAUCUGCUCCCACUUCAGCUCCCUUGUCCUCUGAGAUGGAUGCCUGGCGGUGGCCUCCCUGCCUACCCCCAUGUGGCCAAGACCAGGUUCUUCCCCAGAGGACCAAGAAGUUCCAUUAGGCUUGACGGCUGUCUGCAGAGUUCAGACCAAGGGAGAAAGGCCAGGAGUCUAAGGCCCAUCUUCUAAGUUUGAGCUUCCCCUCCUGCUCAUUGACACUUGGAAGGACUACACUCCCUCCCGCCCUCUGUCUCCCACAGCUGUCAGACCUCACCUGGCCCCCUCCUCCCGUUCAGGAAGUGCACUGAGAGUAAAUAGCAGGGGGUUGUUCUGAGAUCCUGCUUUAUCUUUUCCCAGCUAAGAGACCCAAGACCCUGUCACAAUAGAAUGAAUUGCUGGACCAAUAGUCAGCAGAUCUGGAUUCAGGUUUUGAGUGUUUGAUUUACUUGCUACAGGACCUUGGGGAUGUAUCUUAAUUCCUCAGAGCUUUCGGCAUCUCACCUUCAAAACACGGAUCUAGAGUCCUGCCCUGCCUCCCUCUCAAGGUUGUGGCAAAGAUCAGUCUCAUUAACGUGUGUGCAAGAUUCUUAUAAGCUGGAAAGACUGCUUGAGUGAGGGCCUUUAUUAUGAAGGAAUUAAGGGUUGGAUGGGAGUACAAAUACUCAAUGGACGUGUUUUUCAGAGAAUUAGAAUAUUUUGUCCAAACUACUUCAGAGUUGGAAAAUAGCUUCAAGGGAUCCUUGCGUGGGUCUACAGUGGCACGUCUCUAGUAUUUAUGGGCUCCCUGAGGGCAUACAAUGGGGCUUACAAGAGGGAGCCCUCACCAUAGACCUUGUCCUCUCUUGAGUGGGAGAAGCUGUCCCAGAGCCAACACCUCCAUAAGGAAGGCUACAUGCACCUGGGCUGUCGCCAACCAAAUGUGAUGAUCUUUGCUACUAUCAUUUAUUGUGCCUGGUACAUGAAAGAUGCUCCUAAAUAUUUGUUGAAUGAAUUGUGAUUCCAAUAUAAGGUAAUGCCCAUGCUAAUCCCAUACUCUUUUGAGAUCUGCAACUCGUCAGGACAAAAGUAAUAAAUAUUACUGAGGAUUAAAUUAAUUGGGGGGGGGGCCAGAAAUAACCAAAGAAACCUCUCCAAUUAUAGGAUAAUACAUAUAUAUUCAUUGUAGCUAAGGAGUAGGUGUUACGGGUAUGUAUUAUACAUACGCAACAAAAAGAAAUAAGAACACAAUUCAAUUUCAUAAAACUUUUCUAGUGACUAUGAUUAAUAUGUGCCCAAAACCAGGCUGGGCGCUGCUGUUGGCAGGGUAUAGAGAGAGGUCACCCACAGUGCUACAAUUGAGGUGAGAGACUGGACGGUGACUGCGGGGGAACAGGAAGGAUUUGAGGAAGAGGUGGCAUUUGAGACAGGCAGAGAAGGGGAACUGCGAGAAUAAUCCAAGCAGGGGAUCUUGUGACAAGUGGAAACGUUGGGGCCUAUUAUGAUUCAGUCACAGCAGCUACUGCUUGUUGAGCAUUUGCCAUAUGUAGGCUUUCCACACACGGUCUCAUUUACUGAUAACUCCAUGAGCUAGGUAUUUUUAUUCCCACUCUACUUAUGAAGAAACUGAAGUUCAGAUUGUCACAAAGCAAGCAAAUGGCACAAACAGGAUUCAGACACUGGUUUGACUCCCCACCGGUCCUUGCUCUUACACAGUCCAGGAUGAAUGGAAUUAAGCGCUCAUAGAGCGAUACAAUGGGAGCAAAGAUGGGACAAAGACAAAGCACGGAGCCUCUUGUUUAUGGACCCUGAGGUGUCUUUAUUUAACACAGAGGCUGUGGGAGAUACAGGAGGUUUUAAGGAGGGGGAAGAAUGCGAUUAGAAUUGUGCCUUGAGGUCACUUGCUGGCCAUAGGGAUCGCAGACUAGAGAUCGGUUAGGAGGCUGUGGCCAUGAUCCAGGCUGGGGGCGUGAGGAGCACAGCUUGCCAUCAAGUUUUGCUACUCAAAAGUGUGGUCCCUGGACCAGCAGCAUCCUAUCACCUUGAGCUUGUCAGAAACGCAGACUCUCGACCCCCACUCAGCCCUAUUGAAUCAGAAUCUACAUUCUAACAGGACACCCAGCUAGUUCUAAUGCACAUUGAAAUGUGACCAGCAUUGCCAUAAGGGACAGGAGCACUGCUGGGGGGCCACUCCUCCUAGAGGUGCACUUCUUUUUUGGAUGGCAGAUCUCUUUGAGAAUCAAAGGAAAGCUGAGGACCGUCUCUGUAGGAAACAGCGCAGAUGCACACCAACAUGAGCCUAGAACCGCAGGGGCUUCACAAAGCCCUGAGAGCAUGAGGACCACUGCUGGCUCUGUAAGGAAUCCCUGAAUCUCACCUCAUUAAUCACUUAGUUGGGGAGCAGUGGUGAGGAGUUUAUAGCCAAAACAAUUCAAGUCUGAAGCCACGGGCUGUCAUUUUAGAGACCUCUUCAGAGCCUGGACGAAGCUUAGGUCACCCCAGCCAGGGCCAAGACUCUGUUCCCAUCCCCAUCCCCCCGCGCCUGCAUUGUUCUCCAAAUCCCCUGGUGAUCUGAGCAGAUACCCUGGAGCAAUGAAGUGGGGCCCACCCUGGCUUCCUUGAGCAGGACAGGGCCUGCCUGCCUGCUUUUCUUUAGUCUCAGAAAAGCCAAAAUUAGCCUCACUUUUGUUUCUUUUCUCAGGAGCCUCUGCAUUGUAUCUCAGGAAAGGAUUAUUGUGCUCUGGGGACCCUAUCUUAUCGGGGGGCGGGGGAGGGGGGUGUGGGGGAGGUGAUGAGUGAAAGGAAAAUGGUCUUUGACAAAUUGGUUCAAUUCGGACAAUCACGUGACUUCCCAGUAAUUGCCCACCACUGCUUCAGUAAGGCUAUUGUUUCAGCUCCCAAAUAUUUAGCCAAGUGGGCGGCCAGGGGAGGUUGGGGAGCGGUCAGAGGUUUGAGAACAUGAUAAUGUGGGGAAAGGACUUUUUCUGGUGAACCUCUGGCGUUACGUUGGGAACGCUGAUACCCAGCAGGCUCCGGGCGCGUGACUGGAGUUCUUUUUCACUCACUGAGUUCUUGCGGGGGUAAGGAGACACCUCAGGGGCACUGCCGGAAUGCAGGGAGACGGGAGCGACUUCGGAGACGAGGGCUCUGGAGGCGGUAGCAUGAGAACCCAGUUUGAUUCAGCAAUUACUGCCUCGUGGCUGGACAGGCUGCCUUGCUGACUCCUCCGGGGAGAGAGGGAAAUAUUCUUUUACCUCUCACAGUGAACACUGCUCAGAAAAGCAAAACCACGUGCCGUGAGCCAGGGGGCAAAUGUGACUUGAGCUGUCUGCACUAAAUGUUUCACACAAAGAAUUCAAGGUGAGACCAGGCAUUUGCCCUUAGAAAACUUGUCAAAAAUUCCUGCAUCUCCAGGGAGAGAGCGCUCCUGCUGAACCUCUCGGGCUUGCUCAGCCUGACAUCCCGGGACAUUUGGGAGAUGAGGCUGGUGGCGGCAGCAGCACGUGAGAACGUGUGUUAUCGAAGGGGAACACUUUUCCCCUGUGCUCAUGCGGUCAUCUAUCUGAUAUGCCUGUGGGUGGAGGUGGGCAGAGAGCGGAAGGGAGUGUCCAGUCACCGGCGACAGAAAAGAGCCAUGAGGUCAUCGGAGCCUAAGGCUUUCCUCGCUGACCAUGGGUAGCAAUUGUCUUCCCAGCUUGCUUUCCCAGGGGCUCACCUCCGCUCCCACGGACGGUUCUGAGUGGGAUUCCUGCUUGGGACAUAAGUUUUCUUCCAACUGAAACUACGCCCUGAGGGCCAGAUAGGGGAUCUAUUAUUUGGCAAGAGAUUUGAGAUUUAACUUUGAGAACACUUUGUUUCCAGGUUCUGAUGACAACUCCCUCACGUCUGAUCCUACCCAAGAUGUCACCCUCGCCUCACAUAACUCCCUGCUCAGGAACCACUGUGUGGGCAGCCCUCACCCACUUUGCCCUUGCUCUCCCCAUGAGUCCCUUCCCAUUGCAUCUCCCUAGGAUUUGGGGUUCCUCCCCACUCCUCUACCCCAAGACCUACUGAAUCAGCAAGACUUGAGAACCUGUGACAAGCAGACCACGCCAGGGAUCUGCUGCACACUGAGUUUGGGAAUCAUUGAGCCAGCUGAUCUCUAAGGACUGGUUUAGCUCCAAUAUUCUAGGAUCAAGAUGUUCUGAGGGAUGGCAGGCUCCGGGGAAGAAGCACACGGCCUCCCACGUGCACAGAUGAGUUUUAAUAACCAUCGGGUCUCAGGCUUUUUACUGCAGUGAUUGUCUACCUGGGCUGCAUAUUAGAAUCAUCUGUGGGGUUUUUAAAACUCACACAUAAUAUGGUUUCCAAGCAGAGAUGAGAUGUGUGGGUUUCUUCCCCCUCUUCUCUAAGAAGCAAAAAACCACCUUGGAAUUGCCGGCAGUGGUUCCACCCAAAGGGUACGUGUUGGUACCAGGUGUUCUCUCUGGAAAUCUCCCCAAUGAGGUGCCACAGAGGAGAGCGAGCCUUCUGAACAAAGCGGGCUGUGGAGACCUCAGGACUGACCCUGGUAACUUCCUUUAAAAGAGUAGCCUCACUGUCUGGCAAAAGGGAUGUACUCAGACCCUUUAGGCUCCAAGGAUGGUCAAAGAAAAGCUGCGGACCCCAGGGUGCAUCUCUGGGGUGAGAAGAGGAGAGUGGAGAUUCUGGCUCCACCAGCUUGUGGGGCUGGAACUGAGUCUGAAUCAGCAUCCGGGGCCAGCCAGUGUCCUGGGAGGAGGCUGCGGAGGUGAACUGCUACAUGAGGAGACCAUGUCAGGGUCCCCUUGGCCAAGGUCAGCAAAGGGGGAGGUGGUGGUCCCUUCUCCAAGGGCCACAGCUGGGCAUGAAAGGCUGCCGGGAGCAUCUGGUGGGCACCAGCUGAGGAUGAGGUAGGACCAGUGUCCAACAGUGACACCAUGGGGCAGCGGGAAGUCACAGCAGAAGUAGUGAUAAUAUUUCUUUGGUGUUAUUUGCCCAGCAUUGAUCUAAGUGCCUUACACUUAUUCAUUCAUUUAAUAACAAUUAAUAGCAGUUCUGUCAGGGAGUCAUUAUCACCCCCAUUGUACAGAGAAAGAAAUCAAGGCAAGGAGGUUAUACAGUUAGAGAGUUGCUGCCAGGCUGUGAACCAGGCAGUCUGGCUCCAGAGCCCACAUCCUUAACCAUUAUGCACUGCUGCCUCAAUAACAAUAACCAUAAUUUACUGAGAACUUACUAUGUCUAUUAUGUUCUCUGUGCUCUUUUAGUCUUCACCACAAUCUGACGAGGUGGGAACUGGUUUUAUUCCCAUUUUGCAGAUAAGAAAAGCGAGGCACAGGGAAGAUAAGUAGUGGUCUGCUCAUCGUCCAUUCUCGCCCCUCUGGGAAUGGAAGCCGGACUCAUCCCAGCCAAUCCCACAGCUGCUCCUUCACUUUUUGGAAGUUCUAAGCCUUUAGGGUUCCCAGAAAAGUGAAGCUAGUGGAAAGCUUCGUUACGGGAUGCUGGGCUUCCUGCAACAGAACAUGUGCACUCUUUAGUGAGGAACUGGAAAAACAAAGGCGGUACGACAAUAUUUCUACCUCCAAAUUUGUGAGAGCAGAUCAUAACAAUUUCAGGGGCCCCACCCCAGAUUUGUGGAAUCAGAAUACGUGAAGGGUGAGGCCAGGAAAUCGGAAUUAAAACAGAGCCAAAAACAAACCACAGGUGAUUCUGGAGCACAGCCAGCAUUGAGAAUUACUGCCUUGAUUUCACAGUCGUAUUUCCCUGCCCCCAAUGAGCAGGCAACAGUGUUUCUAGGAACUGGUUCUAGUUUUCGAGUCCUCCUGCUUAGAAAGAAGCUGCGUGUGGGAGCUGACCAGAGGGAAGGAGCUGUUAAGGACCUGGGCAGAGAAGCAAAGCCCCAGGAGCCCAAGAUUCAUGCCCAUGCGCUCUUUGUUCAUGCCCUCCCCUGGCCUGCUGGACUUGGCAAAUCAUUAUCUGUUCUUCAAAGGUAGGCUCAAACAUCUUACUCUUAGUAAACACUUCCCCUGUUCAGCCUCCCCUCCUCCAGCCUUGUGCAUCUCAAAGGACUGCCACUUGGGAGCCCACCGCUCAAACCUGGCUCAGAGCACUGCUCACCACAUCCCUUCCCUGUGUUGUGCCCCUACCUUUCAGGACUGCCUGUUAUUUACACCUUGCCCUUCUGCUCCCCUCACACCGGCCAAGCAAGGUGCCUGGGACAUCAUAACCUCUCAGAAAGUGCUAGCUGUUGAACGUAAGGGAGAGGAAGGAGGGAGGAAGAAAGAUAGAGGGAUAGGGAAGAUGAAAAGGGCAAAAGGUAACACAGAUGGAGAGUGGCCAGUGAAAUCUGAUUUAGUGUUGACCCCUUGAGCACAUGUGACCUUUGCUCUGAGCCAUGGGUACAGCCAGUCCAGGCACUCAUCUGGUCGCCCUGGAACUAUGCACACAGAGUACUGAGAGAGAGAGAUGAGAACAUUUAUGGUUUCACCAGGAACCAUUUCUUAUUUCUGUUGAUGCUUAUAACAAUCCUAUGAGAUAAGUAGGGUAGAUCUGAAUAAUCUCGUCUUACAGGGGAGAAAACUCAGGCUCCGGAAGCUAAUAAGCAUGUCCAAGGUCACAUGGCUGGUAAGCAGAGCAUGGGUUAAUCCAAAUUCAUUGCUAGACAGACAAAAAUAGCUCCGAUUCUUAAGGUUGGAAGGGCCCUGGCAUAUCAUCUGAUCCAACUCUCUGGUCAAUGUGCAUCUUCCCCACAACUUAUUGGAGGAGAGGGGAUGGAGCUGUGUUGGAAUAACCCUAACAAUGGGGAGCUCCCUGCAGCCACUGCAGCUUGGACAGGACCAAAUGAAAGUUGUCCCUUACACUGAGUUAAAGUCUUUCUCUGUAGCACAUAACCAGCAGCUCAAUCCUCUCCUGAAGACCAGUGAAAGGCGUGUUCCCUUUCCACUCUGUCAGCUGUGCUCCACCGCUCUGAGACACCACGACCGACAUCCUGGACUGAGGCAAGGCCCCCUUCCCCGGCCUCAGAGCGCUCCAGCAGAGGGCUGCCCGUGCUUGCUCAGCUGGCACACUGACUCACUCCCGACAGUGUAGUACCAGACGAACUGGAAUCUGUCCACCCUUUGUGGCCUGACAUCAUCCCACAAUUAGCCGGUUUGAAUCCAGCCACACUGAGAAGAUACUCGAAAAGCAGCCCCUCGUCGUCCAGUUGUCUCGUUCACAAAGCCCUGGGACUUCAGAGCCCUCUGGGGAGAUCGAGAGCCAUCUCACAGAGGAGCUGACUGUGAGGGUCUUUACUCCGGAGCUUUCUUCCCCAACUUGUUUCUCUGAAAAACUUCGAACCUACAGGAAAGUUGAGAGAAUAAUACAAUGACCAUGCCUCUACUAGUCACCUAGAUUCACCAACUGCUCCCAUUUCAUCACAUUUGCUUUAUCUCUUUCCCUCCGCUUACAUAUCCACCUGAAAAAUAUAUACUUUUUUCCUGUCGAACCAUUUAAAAUAAAAGUUGUCAAAUCAU